rnacentral:lncRNA from 1 species
CUAGGAUUGGGGUGGGGUUCAUCCCACCCAGACCACAGAGACUGAAAAUAAGAAAGGGGUGAGGCCUAAGGGACAAUCAGGAUGUUUUUCAGAGAGAAGUGUGGAUGCUGGACAGGAAGAACCACAGAUACCAGAUACGGGUACUGUUGUAACUCUGUUCUCCAUGAAAAGACAUACUUUAUUCAGCUGGGUGCUGAAAAAGAAUCUUGGAAAUUAGGAAACUGAAUGAGGCCUCAUUUCACACUCAGAAUGUGGGUUGCAAUAGUCACUUCCUCUGCUGCUGGGAAAGAAAGAAUUAUACUACCUUUUGAAUUUUGGAUUAAGGAGAGAGGUGUUGGCUUGUCAAACUACCAUGUAUUCCUCAAGACAUAUUUUUGUGGCUUUAUAAAAUUCAAUAUAUAUGUCUAAAUUCAAAAAUAUUUUGUUGCAAUCUGGCCCUUGGACAAACUGAGGCCCUAGCAACUGAUGUUUAUGGCUUUCCGUAGAACCUUUCAGAUAAAAUUUACACAGCAUUUUACUGCAGCUAUUUCACACAAAGCAGAGGAUUUUGCCACAAAACUGAAAGAAAAAAGAAACUGCAUUCUUAAAUUUUUCAUAAAUCAAAAGGUAUAAAAAUAUCUACCUAAACGAUAAAGGAGAUGAGAAACCCCACCCAUGAUGGGAAGAAAGCCUAUUUCAGUUUUGCCUUUACUUCAAGUUCUUUUUUCCAUAUCUGGAAUGCAAUCAGAAUUUUAAUCUUGCCUUGGGUUCCUCCUGGAUUUGGGGAGAAGACAAAACCUGAAAAUCUCUAAUCUGCAUGUGUUCAGCUGCGUAUCUUCUGGAUACGGAAGGAUCACACUGCACAGAGUGCUGGACUUGCAGGAGCCCCGCUUCUCAACCUCCAUCGCUUUAUGAAUGAAUUCACCAGAAAGAAAAGGAAGAAUCAACACUUUCAGAGAUGGAGCCUGUUGAGCCACAGUACCAACUAGUCAAUGCUGAAUCGACUUCUCCCUUUCUACAUUGCCUGAGAGAAGUCAUUGGGGAAUACUCUGUACACGAAUUUUCACUGUUGGGGAAAACAGAGAGUCAAGGGAUUGGAUUGUGGAUUGCAUUGGUGGUUUUCCUCAGUUUCCUCAUCUUCUCCACAAGUUUCUACAUAUCGAAUGCAGAGCAGCCCUUCUUCAAAGGACCUCCUACGGAAGCUGCUAAGGAACUCAGUCUGUAGCUCUGCGUGGAGCCAUGUGUAAACACUGAACUGAGACCUGCCACCUCCUACUACCUAAGGGCCCAUUUUCAUCUGAUAUCAUCCCCCAGAAACAAACUCAUGAUGACUUCCAUGUUUUUUUUAGAUUAGAUACAUGGAGAAUUUUCCUUUCCCUUAGAAUUAAAAUCCUGCAUUCUAAUUUUCAGUAAGCUUUUUUAUUUCUGAAUAAUUUUAAAUUUAAAGAGAAGUUGCAAAGAUAGUAUAGAAUGUUCCCUUAUACCUGUUUUUAUUUAGAGUGAUGUUCCCAGGAGAAAUGAUAAUGCAGCAAUGGACAAGAACAGGAACAAGAGACAGUCUUACCAUCUUCUUACAAUUUAUAGAUGGGACAGUGGAAAGAGAAGCCACAUCGGGGUUGGGCAUGCAGAGACCUGGUCCUAAAUCUGUGUGACUUUUGCGAAAUCCUUUUGCCUCACAGAGCUCUAGGUUCUUAUCUGUCAAACAGGAACCAGACCAUCAGAUCCGUAGAGAUCCAACCAAUGAAGGAGACUUCGAAAACUUCACAUUGCCGUGUCAAUGUGAGGUUGCUGGAUGGUUAUGACAAGAAAUCACAUUAAAUUCACUGGGGUAACAUUGUUCAUGAAACGGGAUAAUGUGUUUCAGCGAUGAACCACCCAUGGCCUUACUACAGACAUAUUUCCACUUUGAAAAUGUGUGGUAAAACUUUUUCGUCUCUACAGAACUCUCUCCAAGUGCACACCCAUAGAUUGGUUUGCUUGUGGAAUCCUAGCAUAUCAGAAAUGAAGGAAUCUCAGAAAUUGUUUUCAUCAAACACCUCAUAUGCAGAAGGCAAAAUGAAGGUUCAGAGCAGAAAUGAUUUGUCCAAGGAUGCAACACUCAUCUGCAGCAGAGGGAAGCUGAGCUCUGCAGACCCACCUAGCACUGCAGAGGCAGCCCUCUAGGACAAGGCUUCAUAAAAAAGUGACUUUAUGAGUUGGCUCCAUAAAAAAGAUACAGAUUAAGAAAUUGUUUAAACA